CCACUUGCCUAAAUACAUGCCAACAGUCUUAUCCAAAUUCAUUUUAGCCCCCGAAGCGUUUUCGUACAGUUUUAAAGUUUUAAAUGUUUCUUCGAUAGACUCCUCGCUUUUAUUAAAGAGUUGAGUAUCGUCAGCAAACAUAUUUAGCUUUGUUUCAUAUAGUCCCCAGUUCUAGUAGGAAGUUUUAUUCCUUCUAUAUCAGGAUUGUUUCU
rnacentral:lncRNA from 1 species